rnacentral:rRNA from 1 species
GACGAACGCUGGCGGCAUGCCUAACACAUGCAAGUCGAGCGAGUUGAUCCCUUCGGGGUGAAGCUAGCGGCGGACGGGUGAGUAACACUUUGGCAACCUGCCUCAUAGAGGGGAAUAGCCUUCCGAAAGGAAGAUUAAUACCGCAUAAGAUUGUAGCUUCGCAUGAAGCAGCAAUUAAAGGAGCAACCCGCUAUGAGAUGGGCCCGCGGCGCAUUAGCUAGUUGGUGAGGUAACGGCUCACCAAGGCGAGGAUGCGCAGCCGCCCUGAGAGGGUGAUCGGCCACAUCGGGACUGAGAAACGGCCCAGACUCCUACGGGAGGCAGCAGUGGGGAAUAUUGCACAACGGGGGAAACCCUGAUGCAGCAAUGCCGCGUGAGUGAUGACGGCCUUCGGGUUGUAAAGCUCUGUCUUCGGGGACGAUAAUGACGGUACCCGAGGAGGAAGCCACGGCUAACUACGUGCCAGCCGCCGCCGUAA